rnacentral:rRNA from 1 species
AGGGAAUCUUCCGCAAUGGACGAAAGUCUGACGGAGCAACGCCGCGUGAGUGAUGAAGGUUUUCGGAUCGUAAAACUCUGUUAUUAGGGAAGAACAAAUGUGUAAGUAACUGUGCGCAUCUUGACGGUACCUAAUCAGAAAGCCACGGCUAACUACGUGCCAGCAGCCGCGGUAAUACGUAGGUGGCAAGCGUUAUCCGGAAUUAUUGGGCGUAAAGCGCGCGUAGGCGGUUUCUUAAGUCUGAUGUGAAAGCCCACGGCUCAACCGUGGAGGGUCAUUGGAAACUGGGAAACUUGAGUACAGAAGAGGAAAGUGGAAUUCCAUGUGUAGCGGUGAAAUGCGCAGAGAUAUGGAGGAACACCAGUGGCGAAGGCGACUUUCUGGUCUGUAACUGACGCUGAUGUGCGAAAGCGUGGGGAUCAAACAGGAUUAGAUACCCUGGUAGUCCACGCCGUAAACGAUGAGUGCUAAGUGUUAGGGGGUUUCCGCCCCUUAGUGCUGCAGCUAACGCAUUAAGCACUCCGCCUGGGGAGUACGACCGCAAGGUUG